UCUGCAUCGUCAUCUCUACCCAUGUAAACGUAUCUGGGUACGCUUCAACAAGUAUGUUCCGAGUUUGAGGCGAGAUGUUUGUCGUGUCUAUUUUAUAUCGGUGUAAUAUGUUUUAACCUAAGAAUUAGUAUGUGAGUGAUAACUGUGGACCAAAGUUUACAAGUUAGACAAAAGUGGAAAAAAGCUAACAAUAUUGUUACGUUUAAUGGGCGAUUUACGACCACACGUGAACAGAGAUGGGCUGCGUCAACUCGCCUGUUAAAGAAUGCUCGGAAUGCUUCCUUAAUCAUAGAUCUAACGCUAAUGGAUCGUUUCUCGCGGGGAUGCCGCCAAGAAAACAUACGAAACUAGGACAUCUGAACGCUGCAGUUGGUUGCUGCUGCUAGUAUGAGCAUCGCUUCUGGUGUAGGUAUACAGAAAGCUUCGCUUCCCGACCAGCCACCAUUGCAGUGGCCGCGUGCCGGCUUUGUUUGCUCGAGGGAUGAAGGCCAAUCUAUAGCUUGCUCUAAAAAGACACCCUACGAAUAAAUGAGCCAGAAACCGCUUUUCGCGCAGAAGUGAAACAGAAGCGAAGUGCACGGCGAAGCGCAUAAGAAUAUGAGGAUUUCCACAUAUGACGUGACUGGGCGCGUCCGCCUUUUGGUCUUAAUCAAUCAUUGGCGACUUCAAAGGGUUUCCAAAUUGAGAUGCGUCAGAGUAAGUGGCUCAAAUAGUCUAACCGAGGUGGCUAACGGUGACUGUGCGCUAGUCACCGCCAUGGGUCGCCUUUAACACAAAUACUGAUUAAUGGAUCGCUAGGGUUCAUCCACCGCUCAAGGAGGAGGAAGGAGGACAUGAAGGCCGAACGAAGAACGAGAAAGUUAGAAACAAUGUAGACACAGCUAGCAAACGAGAAAAUAGUAACGAUCCCCUGGAAAGUUUUAUUAUCGCUAUGUAACACUAUGGACCUCAUGUGAAAUGCUAUCGAGGCGUCA